GUGGGGAAUUUUGGACAAUGGGCGAAAGCCUGAUCCAGCAAUGCCGCGUGAGUGAAGAAGGCCUUCGGGUUGUAAAGCUCUUUUGUCAGGGAAGAAACGGUUUGGGCUAAUAUCCUGAGCUAAUGACGGUACCUGAAGAAUAAGCACCGGCUAACUACGUGCCAGCAGCCGCGGUAAUACGUAGGGUGCAAGCGUUAAUCGGAAUUACUGGGCGUAAAGCGUGCGCAGGCGGUUUUGUAAGUCUGACGUGAAAUCCCCGGGCUCAACCUGGGAAUUGCGAUGGAGACUGCAAGGCUUGAAUCUGGCAGAGGGGGGUAGAAUUCCACGUGUAGCAGUGAAAUGCGUAGAGAUGUGGAGGAACACCGAUGGCGAAGGCAGCCCCCUGGGUCAAGAUUGACGCUCAUGCACGAAAGCGUGGGGAGCAA
rnacentral:rRNA from 1 species